GUGCUCACUUCUGCAACACAUAUACUAAAAUUAGAACAUACAAAGAUUAGCAUGGCCCCUGUGCAAGGAAGACACGCAAAUUCAUGAAGCGUUCCAUAUUUUA